CUGAAGUCUGCGCUGAACAGGGAACUCUCUCGUUUCGGUGGUCUUCGAUAAUCGUUCCUCAGGUCACGCUUCAGUUCCUAUCAAUGGAGGCCGCAUUCUGUCAUUCUCUGACUAUUUCUGGGCUGUCUCCUCUCUCUACAUCAAGCGGCAGAAAAAUAGAAAGAGAUCAUAAGAGUCAAGAGUCGGUGAAGAUCCAUUAUUCAUGUAUUUUAUGAAGACUAUAUGAGUUUAUUCUGUGAUGUGUCCACAGUAGAGAGACCAAAAAGGAUACAUAAGGAAGUUAUAGAAUAAGAUCUCAUGAUGAGUAAUGUUUCUAUAAAAGUUAUUUUUUUAUUGCACACAGGUAUUCUCAGGUACUUUCCUAUUAGAGACAAUUAUGUUCGAGGUACUAUUGAGCAUUAAAUGUGGGUAUUUUUCUCUGUGGGGAUUUGACAAUUAGCUCGUCACUUUGUGAAAAACUAGUUCCUUUUGUUAGACUCAACUGUUAUUGAUUGUUGAUUGAACUCAAUAACAGUUACGCAAUCUAUAUAGCUACCUCGCUUUUGUAAAAUAA